ensembl:lncRNA
GGGUUAGACAGUACAGAGUCAGGUCAUUAAGGAGCAGGUAGGGGUUAGACAGUACAGAGUCAGGUCAUUAAGGAGCAGGUAGGGGUUAGACAGUACAGAGACAGGUCAUUAAGGAGCAGGUAGGGGUUAGACAGUAGAGACAGGUCAUUAAGGAGCAGGUAGGAAUUAGACAGUACAGAGACAGGUCAUUAAGGAGCAGGUAGGGGUUAGACAGUAGAGACAGGUCAUUAAGGAGCAGGUAGGGGUUAGACAGUACAGAGACAGGUCAUUACGGAGCAGGUAGGGGUGGGACAGAUUUGAGCUAAUUUGACAUUAAAGACAUUGAGAGCCCAGUGCCUCCAAACCAAGGCUGACAUCUUGUUAUCCAGGUGAUUUAGUUAAGCUUUGUUUCCCUAGUAGAGCCACGGCGCUCCAGACAGCCCUCCCCAUGCAUCACUACAGGGCGGCUAAACGUACACUUUGUACUUUGUGGCGUUCUGCAGACGAAGGCUAGAAGCCUGACACCUUUACAUGCCUUCUUGUGUACGUGCGAUCAUGUCAAGGGCUUACGUGAUUUUCAAAAGGUCACAAAAAGGAAUCAAACCUUUAUCACCUGUUGUUUGGUCCACCCUGCCUUCCACCGGUAUGUACACCCCUUCAUUACCUCUCUCUCUCUCUCUCUCUCUCUCUCUCUCUCUCUCUCUCUCUCUCUCUCCCUCUCUCCCUCUCUCUCUCUCUCC